UAGGGAAUCUUCGGCAAUGGACGGAAGUCUGACCGAGCAACGCCGCGUGAGUGAAGAAGGUUUUCGGAUCGUAAAGCUCUGUUGUAAGAGAAGAACGAGUGUGAGAGUGGAAAGUUCACACUGUGACGGUAUCUUACCAGAAAGGGACGGCUAACUACGUGCCAGCAGCCGCGGUAAUACGUAGGUCCCGAGCGUUGUCCGGAUUUAUUGGGCGUAAAGCGAGCGCAGGCGGUUAGAUAAGUCUGAAGUUAAAGGCUGUGGCUUAACCAUAGUACGCUUUGGAAACUGUUUAACUUGAGUGCAAGAGGGGAGAGUGGAAUUCCAUGUGUAGCGGUGAAAUGCGUAGAUAUAUGGAGGAACACCGGUGGCGAAAGCGGCUCUCUGGCUUGUAACUGACGCUGAGGCUCGAAAGCGUGGGGAGCAAACAGGAUUAGAUACCCUGGUAGUCCACGCCGUAACGAUGAGUGCUAGGUGUUAGACCCUUUCCGGGGUUUAGUGCCGUAGCUAACGCAUUAAGCACUCCGCCUGGGGAGUACGACCGCAAGGUUG
rnacentral:rRNA from 1 species